rnacentral:rRNA from 1 species
UACGUAGGGUGCAAGCGUUGUCCGGAAUUAUUGGGCGUAAAGAGCUCGUAGGCGGUUUGUCGCGUCUGCUGUGAAAUCCCAGGGCUUAACCCUGGGCCUGCAGUGGGUACGGGCAAACUAGAGUGCGGUAGGGGAGAUCGGAAUUCCUGGUGUAGCGGUGAAAUGCGUAGAGAUUGGGAAGAACACCAGCGGCGAAAGCGGUCUACUGGGUCUGCACUGACACUGAGGGACGAAAGCUAGGGGAGCGAAAGGG